UUCAGUAUCGUCGCAAGAUGAUUCAUGACCCAAGCAGAUGCACUGAUGUGCUAACUGAAUUUCCACGUUAUUUGGAUAUCAAAGGCCUGAUUGAGCUGGAUUUUGCUUGUCUUUUUGAAGUUUUUAGAGAGGUGGCCAACUACAUUUAUGCAGAAAGUCAUUCUGAUUCACUGUGCAGAAUCAGCUGUGGACACUGAAUCAGAUGAAGACGGAUGGGGUAGCGGUCUUGCUUCGAUUCUUCUUUUACUUCACCUAAUUCCACCAUCAGCACAAGAUCACAAGAGAUCUGGGAAAAUGUCG